rnacentral:lncRNA from 1 species
UGCGCCGUGGGCGGGGUGGUGCAUCUCGCGCUAGUGGCGCGUGGCGUCUCCUCAGUCCCAGGCGGGUGUCGGCGGCUGCUGCAGCCGGGCGGGAUGCGCUGAGGUGACCUCUCAGCCCCGCGGGCGUGCAGGUGGAAGUUACGCCCCGAGGCUUUGAGUCAAGCCUGAAGGGCCGAUAGGACGUUCAGCAUUUCAGAGUUGAGGUAGAAAUUGAAGACCUGGAUGCUGGAUUCGUUUUUGGUCCUGAUCAGCUCAGUCUGACAUCAUUUCACUGUGAAGCAGAAGCCCAAAGACUUGGUUGAUAUUCUGUAAAUGAACCCACCAGAAGAACCCAAGAGGCCCUCUGCUUUCCAUCAGGCUACCAGUCCUCCAGACAGCAAACGAAGAGGCAGAGAUUAAUUCCUUAUUAGGUAUACCAAUAUAGUCAACGUGCGUAACUUCUGCCCUAAGUCAGCACUUAAAAACCUUACUGUCCGUCUGUCUCACUUUCUCUUCUUUACACUUCAACGUUCUUAACAGAAGUGUUGUUUUCAUUGGGUUCAUAGUUUGCUUAAUGUUUGGAAAAUAAAGAAACAAGUACUCUUACUGUAUCUUCAAAUGUACACAUUUUAGUAUGAAACACCCUGGAG